AGAGUUCAAAAAAUAAAAUAAGAAAAGAAAAAAAAAAGAUCAAGACACCCAAGAUUUAUGUGGUUCGGCAAUCUUUGCCUAUAUCCAUGGGAGAGACUAGAAAAAUUCACUAUAGCCUGUGGAAGAUUUUCAAGAUUGACAAAGAAUCUCUCAAAUCCUAAUCCCUGUACAUCCAAAACUCUCUUUCUCUCUUUCAAAAAACUAUUCUCUUAACUUCAGAAA
rnacentral:lncRNA from 1 species